GGUCUAUUAGCUCAGUCGGAAGAGCGUGGUGCUAAUAACGCCAAGGUCGAGAGUUCGAUCCUCUCAUAGACCA